CAUCCCUUGACAGGUGCUCCACCCCCUAAUUGCUAUCUUGGGACCAGAAGUAUGUUCCCUAACUGCUGACCUUUGCUACUGCAAGUCCCUUACCUUACCCCUGGAAAUAUUGCAUUUGAGAGGGUCAAGUUAACAGUCAGAGAAGCCUGAAACAAAAUGGCCACCUGGUGCCUAAUGGACGUGGGGUGGAAGUGAAGGGUCAGGGAAGGCUUUAUAAACCUAAGCCCCAAGCCAGAGGGUCAGUCUGGCCAUAGGAGCUAUGGGGACCAAGUUCCUGAUGGAAGAUCCCUGGGGCAGGACUUGAGACUGCAGACGAAAGACUCAGAGUGGCAGCUUAGGUGGAAGAAAACCUCAAAGUCUGUACUGAAAGCAAGAUAAGUAGUCCAAGCCUCUUUGGUUUCUGUUUUCACAAGCACCGCUGUUGAGUAAGGCUGACCCCAGAUGGAGCAUUUUCUUUGAGUUGAAGCAGACACACGAUUUAGGUUCCCUUUCUCUUUUUGUUCCCAGUGGACUGGAUUGUGGCUGUAGGGGAGGUGGAGACCACUGAUAGGGAUGCCUGGGGAUGCCCCAAACUCUAGGCGCAGUUUUCAGAUGAUGAAGGACAGAGACUGAGGCAUAAGCCCUGAACCUGUAAGGGGCAGAGCUCACCAAGGACUGAGUGGGGGAGCAGACUCAGAACUCAUGAAGGUGAGACCUGUGAUCGCAGAGGCCUGUAUAGGGGACCCAUCAGGGCCAGGGAAGGCCACAGGCAUGACCAAAGCUGAGCCAAGAGUUUGCAGUCCUGGGCAGUGGGCCCCAAGCUGAAAGGCUCUGUCAGACUAAAGGUGGGACGAGGCCAAGGGGGCCACAGUUCAGACAAGGAUCUACUACCCAAAGCCCUCUUUGUCCUCAAAGCAGCCUCCCCUUGUCGAUUCAUUACAUCAAGGCAUGGCAGGAAAGAUCACAGGGGGGAAACACCCUGGAGGAACAAGGGAAGUGAGAUGGGAGUGGCCCAGGAACCAUUCUGGCACCCAUAGAUGCAUUACAAUCUCUGAUUCAGUUAGUCUAUCAGGUUCAUUUCCAUCCUGCCUCCUGCCUGACUUCAGACUAACAUGGCUAACUACUUUUCUAGUGUUCCCAAAUACUGCUUGUAGCACAGUCCCACUCUCUCCCUGCACAUCUUUUCCAUUUGCAGAGGAUAAGCUUUUGAGAGCAGAGGACUGUUGUUUGAGAUCUGGAUCCUUUAUGAUUUAUGUCUGGAUCAAAAGAAGGUUUAGAGAUUUCCCUGUUGCUAUCGACCGAUUGGAAACAGAUCCUGAACCCAGCAGGCUCACUCUGAUAAAGUGGAAUGCUGGGGAUUAAAGAAGCUUCAGCGAGAGAUUUGGAAAAAUGUACUGCUUGUAAAUCUCUUGCCUCCCCUCACAGACACAGAAUAGACUCAUGUCACUUGAGUGCUCAGGGGAUUUUUUUUGGUUUUGUUUUUAUUUUAAACUUCUAACCUUCGUGGGAGAGCUGGAUUAAUUAGCAAAGCAGCUCAACUCCAAGGGAUCUUGCCGUCAAUUUGUUACUCGUGUGGGUGUUCUUGUAUCCAGGAAAAAGCCAUCUCUGCUGUGCAGGGACUGUGUUAAACUGUGCUCAGGGAAAGACCAAUUCAGUACUGACUGAAGGCAAUGGGACUUUUAGCACUGACUUGAAAGGUCUGCUCCAAUGCCUGUUUAACAUGGCCAGCUUUUCAGAAACACUUGUUCUGCGAAUGCUUACCAAGAUGUGUCCUAAUUUACUGUCUGAGCCUAUGGCUGUGUGUUACAGUGUUAAGUAUGGCUAUCUCUGGGGGGUGGACAAAGCAUGACCUACCCCAGAAUAAUCACUGGAGUAGCUGAAAAAAUUAUUUUCAUCAGGUUUAAGCACCCAGUUUCCACUGAAUUUCAAUAUAAUUUGGGUGCCUUGGUGGUCCUUUCAAAACCCCAGCCAAUAUGACUUCACUGGGAAAGCUUGUUAAGGGCCAGAAACUGGAGCCAGGUAUCCUAGCUCCUACUCUAGUGUUUUACGUGCACGGCCACCCAACUACCUGUCCAUUGCUGCUGUAGCUUAGGUCUAGGGUGACCAAUUUGAGAAUGUGCAAUGACCAACAUGAGCUGUGAAUGGUUCCCUGUGUAGAGAGGACUGUUCCAGUGCUGGUAUUCUUGAAAGCCACCCUGUAUAUUGAAUAUUUCUAUUUCUUUUUAAGGACCUUCCUCCUCUUAAAUUCCUUCUUUCCUCUAGCCAGCCAACUAGGGUCUGCAUUCAGAUGCUAGGUCCAAAUCCUUUUGUGUUCUGGUGAAAUUUGGAUCCAAAUAUGUUUGACUCACUGCAUUUUCUAAUAUCCAGCAUUUGUUGCCAGAGUUUGUUUCACUCCUGUCUUGGCUUCCUCUUGUCUCUCUCCAUUAUUUAUUACUUCCUUUCUCCAUCUUCACACACUCUCCUCACCAGUCAGCAGCCCCCCAAGUCAGCUCCACUCUCUCAUUUACUAACCUAUCUUGGCUGUUGUCACGUGCCUCUUCAUUUGGAGAUAUUAACUCUUCCAACCUCUUCUACCUUUUAGAAAUAUUGUAUUUUUAAAAUCCAGCGACCCAUCCAGCCUGUCAGUCCCAUGACAUGGGAGUGGGUCUCCCAUCCAGAGUGUUGUGUUGCUUAGCAACAUAUUUCUCUCUUCUCUGAUCAGUUAUUUCCCUACCACAAUGUCUACUGAUGUAAGCACAACAAAUAAAAGCAAUAUUAAAGCAGCAAUUGCCCUUGUCCAUGUUUACUUAUUAUUUAUUAGUACUGCUGUAAAGAGGUCUGUACACAUUUCUUUACAUCCCACCUUGUUUAAAAGAGAUCUGAUUUUUCCAUCCCUUUGUAGCAUGCUUUCAUAAUUAAUGGGAGCUCACCACAAUUCAGUGAACAUGAUAUACAAUAUGGCUAAUAUUUUCAAAAGCAGUCUCUAAUUUUGGGUGCCUUCAUUUUUCAGUCCCCAAGCUGAAACCAGAAGGGCUUAAUCAUUAGAAAUGCCAUGAACCAGCCGCUCCCACUGAUUUGAUUUGGAGUUAUGGGUGCUUAUACCUUUGAAUAAAAUCAGAACUGAAGGGCCUUAUACUGGACACCUCAAAUGAAUUCACCAAUAAUUAAUUAAUAUAUUUAUUAUGUUAGCCUUGUUCCUCUUUCUAUCUGUUGCAAAAGGAUUAGUACAAGUUCAGAGUGAAUCAAAAAGAUUCCUUCCCCCCUUUUCCCUCUGCCCCAGGGGAUUUAGGGUGCAGAUCCACUUCCUACUGCUCUUUCAUCUUCUUUUCCAGCCUAUAUUUUCUGUACUGCACAGUAGUUCCAAGUAAACAAGUUUCCUUUCCUUAUUUGUAGCUAACCUCCCUUGAACUCUUCAGUAUAGCAACAAACUGCCUUGUUUUUGCUGUGGGCUGAUUCAUGUGCUGCUGGACUUGUGACUCAGCUUGGAUCUGACGCCAAAUGGGAUUUAUUCCACUUGUUAGGCCUGAUGGACAUGCAGUGUGGGGGAACAAAAUUUGACAAGACUUCUGACUCACUCAGUGGGCAGAAUAGAUGAUGCCCUGAGAAUGACUCUUCAUAAAUACCAAAUAAAGCUGUUAUCUGCAGGACUCCUCCUCCUUUUUUUUAAGGGAUUGAACUGUGGAUAGCACAUAAGACAAGAGACUGCAAGAAAAGGAAGGAUGUUGUAAUGAUCUGGAGAGCUGAAUACCAUUCUGGAGAACCGGAUUCCAUCUUUAUGUCUACCACAGAACUCCUCUAUGAUGCAAGACAAGUCACUUAAGUUACUCACGGUUGACCACUGAAGGACCAUUGAUAGCACUCAUUUCUGGCGCUAGGUGGCUCCAUCCUGAGACAUACUGCACUUGCUCGUCACAUGCUACCUUCCAAACCAGCAGUAGUAAAGCUGCAUACUUUACUCUUUUAUAUCUCUGCCUCUCAGAUAUAAGCAGCAGAGGCAUAGCAGGGCAGCUCCAUGGUUUGGGCAGCAGCAGUCCAUAUGGCUAUUUUUUGUGCCCCUCCAAAAAGUAAUGCUCAGGGUUACUGCUCCAGCACCUCCUCUCCCCAGACUGCUAUGCCAGUGCCCCCUCCUGCCCCAGUUACACUACUGAUAAAGAAAACUCACUGGCAUGGAAACCACUCUCUGCUAGAAAGCUAUGUUCAGAGAUUUAAGUAGGAAUGUUGGUGCCCUGAGCAGGAGAGAGGAGUGGAAAGCAGUGGGGUGGGGGGGAAGAGAAAAUAGGAGGCCUGAAUGCUUACCUCUUUGCAAAGAGGCUGCUGCGGAUGGCAUGUCCUCUAAAUCGGUGCCCAGGGCUGGUGCCUUACUCACCAGCCUUAGUUAUGCUAUAGGCAAUGCUGUUUCUGGUUUGGGAAGGGGAUGUGUGGAGCAAGUGUGGUAUAUCCCAGCAUGGUACUGCAUGGCACUUGUAAAUGAGUAGUAUUUACUCUGAGUCUGUGCUCCUCAUUUCUGGGUGCUUGGUAUAAGAUGCAUGGAGAUUGCACAAUUGCAACUGAAGUCAGUGGGAGCUGAAAAACCAGAUCCCAGGGUCUUGCAAAUUGGCUAACAAAUUAGUGAACACAUCUGGUCUCAGUUCCUUAUGUGUAAAAUAGAAAUAAUAAAUAUGCCUAAUGCCACAAAUGUACUGUGAAGAUAAAUUCACUGAUACAAAGAAUUUGGUUACUAUGGAGGGAGACCCUUGGAAACACUCCAGAAUGAAUUAUUGAUGUAAUAAUAUAAUGCAGUUUGGAUGGCAUAUACCAAAUAAGGAAUGGAGCCACUCAUUGAAUGAGACAGAGACUGUAUGCUGAAAAUAGCACAUGAACGUGUAAUUAAACACUAUAAGACAAGGGAUGCAUGUUGGGAGAGGGCAAAUUAAGGUUGUAUAGGCAAUCCAAUUUAUGGCAUUUUCUACUUCGGAGUAUUGAAAGUUAUGAAGUCUCUUGUGUUCAGUCAGGUUCCUUCAUCCCAAACUGGUCCCACAAUUAAAGUAGCACCCCAUGCUCAAAAACGUGUCCCUCUUUUCAUCAUCCUUGCCAAAGCUUCCUCUUCCCCUGUGAUUAUCUCAGAGUUUUCUGUGAGGCACUUGGAUUUUUUUUCAGUCCUAGUGUCAACAGGUUUGGGGCUUUUAUUAUUUCCAACCUCUGACUUCUUGCACAAAUAUGGCUGAACUGGUUGUCCUGGUCUUCAGCAUCUCCUAAGGGACUCCUACUGAAAUCGGAGUCAUCAAGGUUUCAUGACUACUGUCCUUUGAGAUGUAUGACAAAAUUCCUGACAGCAUAUAGAGUCAUUCAAAGGUACAACACUCUCACAACCUUAACUACAAUUAGUAAGGUAUACAUAGGCAGAUAUCCCAAAUCAGCACACUUGAUUUCUUGUGCGUGUGAAACUGCUUGAGUCUGAGUUAUCAAUCAUGCAAAGGACCUGUGCAUUCUGGCAACUAGAUCCUUUCCAUGUGACAUUAACUUUUUUAAAUCAUGGCUCUGAAAAUGAUCUAGGACCUUUUCCUGAUGGUCUACAAGACAAAAAGCUCUAGGUGCCCAGCAGUGGGUGAUUAAGUCCUGGUUAAGGAGUGGGUCCAUAAGAGGGUCAUUUUACAAAGGGAACUAUCAGAUGAAAAAUUGUGAGGAAGUAUUCUCACAAUGGUCAGAUUAUGGCCUACUAGUAGGUUAAAACCUUGAGGAAUCCAAAUGGGUUUUGUUUUAUUCUUUCUUCCUCACACAGGAUUUGUAGUGAUUGGGGAGCAUCCCUCCAAAAGAACCCGGUGUAGAUUCACAAGUGUCCAUGCAUUUUCUUUGUUGGUUCAGUCCUGCCUUAUGUGUGUAUGUGUCUAUGCCAGUCCAAGUAUCUGCUCUUUGUGCCUACAGCAGUUUUUGUUAUUUGGGCAUCUUGUGAUAUUUGGUGGGUUACUUAAUAUAACUCCAGUAGUCCCAGGUUUAUGUCAGAAAAAUCUCAGGUUAUAUAAGCACAAUAAGGCAAAUAAAAAGAACUUGAUAUUCUUAUUUGAAAUCUAAUUAUUUUGAAGCCAGUCUUUUGAUGCUAGGUCCUGCUUCAUCUUUUGCUAAGGUUUGGAAUUGGAAAUAUUGCUGAUUGCUCUG